CAGAUCAAAGUCCUCAAGAGUUUUUACAAUUCUCAGUCGAGCUUCAUUCUAUAAGUGUCAAUAAAAAUGUGUUUAUUUUUAUUAUUGAGGGGAGCACCAUCAAAUGGUCUAUGAAACUGUUACAUGGAUUCAGAGUCUGAGCACCAUUAUUCUAUCUACACAUUUCCUGUCCACCAAAAAAACAAUAUUUGAAAGAAGUCAUCCAGUCUGAAAGGCUUUGCUCCACAGUUCAGAGAAGCUGAAAGGCUGAAUGUCUGCCUCAGUAUUUGAAUUAUCCCCAGAAAAACUAUAUGAAACCAAGAAUCUCACGUAUUGGCUUUGGCUCUGGGGUGAUGAAGAUGGGGAGGGGGAGAGAAAGAAGUGCAUGCAGAGGGUAAGUGCUAGAGUCGACAGAAAGAAGGCACUUGGGUCAUUACUUCCUGCCAAUUUCAGUUUCAAAAGCAAACUCCUCCAACUUGCCAACAGCCCUCAACAAAUUCUCAUUGUCAGAAUGAACACUUAUCAAAAGUAGAUUCAUUUGGGAAGGGCUUUUAUGAUACUAAUAAAACUUUAAAGCUUCUCACUUUUUUUUUUUUUUUUUUUGUUUAAGUCUUAAUAUAUAGCCAUUUGAAAAGCAAUACUGAUCUAGGAAAAUAGCAAACCAAAAUGGCAACAAAAAAGAAUUAUUUAAGCCAAUAUUGAGUCUAAGUUCCAGUCAACAAGACAACCCAGGACAGAAGAUUUAAACCAGACAGACGUGGGUCUGUGAGCGAGGAGAAGCAAGGAAGCUUCCAAAUGUGGUCUGAGUUAGACAGUGUGAGGAAACGGCAGCUUAGAGUUGUCAAGUCAGAAGGAAAGAGAACCUAAGACAGCUUAGGACAGCUCUGUGAAGUCCUGAUUUACAGAGUUCAACUGCCAAUGAUUAGGCAAAGUGUAGACAAAAGCAAGAGAGAGCUCAGACUAGCUAGUCAGAGAUGAUGCAGCCAACAAUGGCUUGGUUCCACAUCAUACCUUUGUUUUAUUCCAUAGAUAAAAAACUCGCCCACUUGCUCUCCCACACACUCUUUAUUACAGCCAUUAAAUACAAAAAUCUUUUUUUUUUUUUUUUUUUUUUGGUGAGACAGAGUCUCA